rnacentral:rRNA from 1 species
AUAAUGGGUCAGCGACUUAUAUUCUGUAGCAAGGUUAACCGAAUAGGGGAGCCGAAGGGAAACCGAGUCUUAACUGGGCGUUAAGUUGCAGGGUAUAGACCCGAAACCCGGUGAUCUAGCCAUGGGCAGGUUGAAGGUUGGGUAACACUAACUGGAGGACCGAACCGACUAAUGUUGAAAAAUUAGCGGAUGACUUGUGGCUGGGGGUGAAAGGCCAAUCAAACCGGGAGAUAGCUGGUUCUCCCCGAAAGCUAUUUAGGUAGCGCCUCGUGAAUUCAUCUCCGGGGGUAGAGCACUGUUUCGGCAAGGGGGUCAUCCCGACUUACCAACCCGAUGCAAACUGCGAAUACCGGAGAAUGUUAUCACGGGAGACACACGGCGGGUGCUAACGUCCGUCGUGAAGAGGGAAACAACCCAGACCGCCAGCUAAGGUCCCAAAGUCAUGGUUAAGUGGGAAACGAUGUGGGAAGGCCCAGACAGCCAGGAUGUUGGCUUAGAAGCAGCCAUCAUUUAAAGAAAGCGUAAUAGCUCACUGGUCGAGUCGGCCUGCGCGGAAGAUGUAACGGGGCUAAACCAUGCACCGAAGCUGC